CUCCCCGCAGACGUCCACUCUGCAGAAGUGAGAUGGGGUUUUGGUUGCGGAACAGGCCAGGAGGGAGGCAUCUCGUGAGGACUGGUAACCGCGAGCUUUGGGGGUGCAUCUGAAAGACAAAAGGCAGAAACCAUUUGGGAUCUGUUGGCAGAUAUGAACAGAUUCACCCUCUAUAUAAAUAUGAAGAGAAGAAGAUCCCAUCACAGCCUGUAGAAGCUGGGAAAGGCAAGAAAAUUAAUGCUCCCCUAGAACUUCUGGAGGGAAUGAAUCUCUGUCAACACCUUGAUUUUAGUUUGGUAGACUUGUAUAGGAACUCUAACCUCCAUAAGUGUAACAUAAUAGAUUUAUAUUGAUUUAA